UACGGAGGGGGCGAGUGUUGUUCGGAAUUACUGGGCGUAAAGGGCGCGCAGGCGGCCUGGCAAGUCGAGUGUGAAAUCCCUUGGCUUAACUGAGGAAUGGCGCUCGAAACUACCUCGCUAGAGGGCGGGAGAGGGAAGUGGAACUCUCGGUGUAGGGGUGAAAUCUGUAGAUAUCGAGAGGAACACCGGUGGCGAAGGCGGCUUCCUGGCCCGUACCUGACGCUGAGGCGCGAAAGCGUGGGGAGCAAACAGG
rnacentral:rRNA from 1 species